rnacentral:rRNA from 1 species
GAAGUUGGAUUCGCUAGUAAUCGCGCAUCAGCCGUGGCGCGGUGAAUACGUUCCCGGGCCUUGUACACACCGCCCGUCAAGCCAUGGGAGCCGGGGGCGCCUGAAGUCCGGGACCGCGAGGACCGGCCUAGGGCGAAACUGGUAACUGGGGCUAAGUCGUAACAAGGUAAC